UAAUACGUAGGGGGCGAGCGUUGUCCGGAAUUAUUGGGCGUAAAGGGUUCGCAGGCGGCCUUUUAAGUCAGAUGUGAAAGCCCACGGCUUAACCGUGGUAAGCAUUUGAAACUGGAAGGCUUGAGUUAAGGAGAGGAAAGUGGAAUUCCUAGUGUAGCGGUGAAAUGCGUAGAUAUUAGGAGGAAUACCAGUGGCGAAGGCGACUUUCUGGACUUAUACUGACGCUGAGGAACGAAAGCGUGGGGAGCAAACAGG
rnacentral:rRNA from 1 species